rnacentral:rRNA from 1 species
CUUGAACGCUGGCGGCAGGCCUAACACAUGCAAGUCGAACGAGUGGCGGACGGGUGAGUAAUGUCUGGGAAAAUGACUGAUGGAGGGGGAUAACUACUGAAAACGGUAGCUAAUAGCGCAUAACAUCAUAUUUGCCCAGAUGGGAUUAGCUUGUUGGUGGGGUAACGGCGCACCAAGGCGCCGAUCCCUAGCUGGUCUGAGAGGCUCAUUAGCCAAACUGGAACUGAGACACGGGCCAUGCUCCUAUGGGAGGGAGCGGUGCGGAAUAUUGCACAAUGGGAGCAAGCCUGAUGCAUCCAUGCCGCGUGUAUGAAGACGGCCUUCGGGUUGUAAAGUACUGUCAUCGGGGAGGCGUUACCCGCACAUAAAGCACCGGCUAACUCCGUGCGAGCAGCCGCGGUAAUUC